UGAAAUCUUCAUGGUCGACGA
ensembl:piRNA 21ur-1017 ncRNA